rnacentral:rRNA from 1 species
GCAGUAUACAGUGAAACUGCGAACGGCUCAGUAAAUCUGCAAAAAUCUAUUUGAUAGUACCUUCUACUUGGAUAUCCGUGGUAAUUCUAGAGCUAAUACAUGCUAAAAAUCCCGACUCACGAAGGGAUGUAUUUAUUAGAUAAAAAACCAAUGCCCUUCGGGGCUCUUUGGUGAUUCAUAAUAACUAAACGAAUCGCAUGGCCUUGCGCCGGCGAUGGUUCAUUCGAUCUUCAGCCCUAUCAACUUUCGAUGGUAGGAUAGAGGCCUACCAUGGUGUCGACGGGUAACGGGGAAUUAGGGUUCUAUUCCGGAGAGGGAGCCUGAGAAACGUGAGUCAACCAAUCCUCCAACUAAAUUUUCUUUUACAGUUGCUAACUGAGAUGCAGGGCUACCACAUCCAAGGAAGGCAGCAGGCGCGCAAAUUACCCAAUCCCAAUUCGGGGAGGUAGUGACAAUACAUACUGAUGCGGUGCUCUUUUGGGCAUCGCAAUUGGAAUGAGAACAAUCUAAAUCCCUUAUCGAGGAACAAUUGGAGGGCAAGUCUGGUGGACAGCUGGCGCCAGACAGCCGGGGCACUCAGCUGAGUCGCUCUGACAGUGGGUGUGACAGCCCGCGAGGAAUCCGGUACCGUGGACGCUCCAGCCGGAGCCGACACGGUGGCAGUCUUGACUGUCGAAACGCACGCCAGGGUUCCGGUAGACUCCCAGCGGGUCUACUUGAGGUACGUGCUAAACUUCCCCCCCCAGGGCGAAGAGUUAGUUGGCCAGCAGCCGCGGUAAUUCCAGCUCCAAUAGCGUAUAUUAAAGUUGUUGCAGUUAAAAAGCUCGUAGUUGAACUUUGGGUCUAGCCGUCCGGUCCGCCUCACCGCGAGUACUGGCUCGGCUGGAUCUUUCCUUCUGGGGAUCCGCAUGCUCUUUAUUGAGCGUGUUGGGGAACCAGGACUUUUACUUUGAAAAAAUUAGAGUGUUCAAAGCAGGCAUAUGCUCGAAUAUCUUAGCAUGGAAUAAUAGAAUAGGACGUGCGGUUCUAUUUUGUUGGUUUCUAGGACCGCCGUAAUGAUUAAUAGGGAUAGUCGGGGGCAUCAGUAUUCAAUUGUCAGAGGUGAAAUUCUUGGAUUUAUUGAAGACUAACUACUGCGAAAGCAUUUGCCAAGGAUGUUUUCAUUAAUCAGUGAACGAAAGUUAGGGGAUCGAAGACGAUUUUAGCUGGUCGUCUACAGCUAAGCUAGUCUGCUCUUCGCUGAGCGGGCGACACCAUUCAACUGGGGAGCAGCUCCGGCUAGCCGGGGCGAAUCCACAGCUCGGAUCCUUGGGGAUCCGGUCUACAGACUGAACGAUGGUGGGUCACGGCGGGCGAGUCGCCUGCUGGAUUUUUGAUACAGCCGAGCCUGCCGCUGUAACGCGGCAGUUUAGCGCAGAUACCGUCGUAGUCUUAACCAUAAACUAUGCCGACUAGGGAUCGGACGGUGGUUCUAUUUUGCCCCGUUCGGCACCUUACGAGAAAUCAAAG